UGGUUCCGGCAUCGAUGAAGAACGCAGCGAAAUGCGAUAAGUAAUGUGAAUUGCAGAAUUCAGUGAAUCAUCGAAUCUUUGAACGCACAUUGCGCCCCUUGGUAUUCCGAGGGGCAUGCCUGUCCGAGCGUCAUUGCACCUCUCAAGCUUCGCUUGGUCUUGGGCCCGCCCCCGGCGGCGGCCCCGAAACGCAGUGGCAGCCCGGCGAGAUUCCAAGCGCAGUGAAAUCGGCUCUUCGAGCCUUCGCUUCGGACGUCUACGCCGCGGCCCCGCCAGCUCAACCACUUUUUUUUCAGGUUGACCUCGGAUCAGGUAGGGAUACCCGCUGA
rnacentral:misc_RNA from 1 species